GAAUUCACUAGUGAUUCAGGCCUAACACAUGCAAGUCGAACGAUGAAGCACCUUCGGGUGUGGAUUAGUGGCGAACGGGUGAGGAACACGUGAGAAAUCUGCCUUCAACUCUGGGAUAACUCCGGGAAACCGGGGCUAAUACCGGAUAUGAGCCUUGAUCGCAUGAUCGAGGCUGGAAAGUUUUUCGGUGGAAGAUGACCUCGCGGCCUAUCAGCUUGUUGGUGAGGUAAUGGCUCACCAAGGCGACGACGGGUAGCCGGCCUGAGAGGGCGACCGGCCACACUGGGACUGAGACACGGCCCAGACUCCUACGGGAGGCAGCAGUGGGGAAUAUUGGGCAAUGGAGGAAACUCUGACCCAGCGACGCCGCGUGAGGGAUGAAGACGUUCGGGUUGUAAACCUCUUCAGCAGGGAAUAAGCGAAAGUGAA
rnacentral:rRNA from 1 species